rnacentral:lncRNA from 1 species
CAUAUCGUGCUCAAUCAUGGUGCCAAAAUGCCUGUCCUGGGGCUGGACACCUAGAAUUCCCCUCCAGGCCAAGUGACGGAGUCUGUGAAGCUUGAGAACGUUGCCACUGUCAGCAAGCUGCGGUGCUCAUACCAUGAGAAGAGCCUGAUAAAGGAGCCUGUCAGAAGACCCUCAGGGGACCACCUGGAUUCCUACCUUAUUCACUGGCCAACAGGCUAUUUUUCCUGUUGGAUGGGACAGACAACGUGGUACCUAGUGACACCAACUUCAUGUCACAUGGGUGGCCACAUGGAGGAGCUGGUGGAUGAAGGGCUCUGAAAGCUUUUGGAAUCUCCAACUGCAGCCAUCUCCAAGAGAUGGUAAAGAAACCUGGCAAACCUGGCUUAAAAACAGUGGUUAACCACAGUGAGUGCCACCUGCACCCACCUCAGGAGAAGUUAAUCCAGGGCUGCCAAUCCAAAGGCAAGGUGGUGACUGCCUGUAGUCCCCUCAGCUCUCGUGACAGGUCUGGGGGAUCCCAGCACCAAAGCAAUCACAGCCAAGCACAGUAAAAAAAAUAAACAAAUAAAAACGCAGCCCAGGUUCUGAUCUGGUUUCCCAUGCAUAGGAAUUUGGUGGUAAUUCCUAUCAUCAUUUCGGUGGUGAUGCUGGAACGCACUGCUGAAAACUUGGAGGACUUCGACUUUCAACUGAGCAGCCUGAUGUGACCACUGUAGUCAGCUACAACAGGAACGGGAGGGUCUGUGUCUUGGUGAGCUGUGCCUCCUGCAAGGAUUACCCCUUCAACACUG